rnacentral:lncRNA from 1 species
CCCGCCUGAACAUGAAAACUGGAGAGGUCCGGAUGACCCUUGCUCCUGGAUCUGUUCUGGAAGGGCCCUAACCCUGCCCAUCGCAGUCUCUCGGAUUCUUCACAGCCAAGUAAACCUCCCUCUUCCUAAUGCUGACAGCCUCUCAAUAGCAGCGCCACCAUGAGCUAAACCGGUCUCAUGGAAAGUCCCCAGACACUCCCUUCCUCUCUGAUGCCAAAGACUGAAUGGAUGAUGGCACAGAGCUGGACUCCUGACAAGACUGGCAGACCCCCCAAAAGCUGACCUGGAGGCUCUGGGCCCCAACUGACCAUCUGGAGUGGAGGCUGAUUUCCCUUCAAUGUGUCUGAGGCCUCGCUCACGUGUGUGGCAGAUCCCCAAGAAAGCCACUCAUGUGGCGGCUGCAGGUUAGAUUUAAUCCAUUCCUAACAGGAGCUGGAAUCUAUAGUCUACAAGCCUGCCCUCCACAGUGCAGCAACCAGUCAAAUCUUCCAGUGAUGGGGCUGACUAAUUUCCGGAGUACUAAGCAUGUUCACCCCCGUGCCAGGGUCUGGAGACAAGGAGAGGAGCUUUCACAGUUCCUCACAGACUCUGUUAGGAGCUCAUACAAGCCAAUGCUCCUUCUCCACUCAGGUUCCUCUAGGAGGUCAGGAAGAGAGCAGGUAGCUAAGCCUACCCUUGCCUCUCUCCACCACCAGCCGUCAUGCUCAGGGUGACCUCAGUAGCAUAACAAUAGUUGACAUUACUGAACACUCACUCUAUCCUGGGCUUUGUGCUGAGCUACUUGCAUCCAGAACCUCAUUUGGGCUUCUCAUCACAACUCAGAAGAAGGUACUAGUCCCACCUGCCUUUUAACUUUGACCCAGAGAGGUUAAUUACCUGUCCUCAGAUCACACAGUUAGAAAGAGCACUCAGUGCUAAUACUUCUAACUUGUCACGACUUUCCCAACUUCUCAAAUCUCCUUACAAAGACAGACAGUCCUAG